CAGCAGCCACGGGAAUACCGAGGGUGCGAGCGUUAAUCGGAUUUACUGGGCGUAAAGCGUGUGUAGGUUGUUGUUCAAGUCAGUUGUGAAAUCCCUGGGCUCAACCUGGGAACUGCUUCUGAGACUGAACGACUAGAGUACGGUAGAGGGUGGUGGAAUUUCCGGUGUAGCGGUGAAAUGCGUAGAUAUCGGAAGGAACAUCAAUGGCGAAGGCAGCCACCUGGGCCUGUACUGACACUGAGACACGAAAGCGUGGGGAUCAAACAGGAUUAGAUACCCGAGUAGUCCCUGUCUCUUAUAC
rnacentral:rRNA from 1 species